AUUGAACGCUGGCGGCAUGCCUAACACAUGCAAGUCGAACGGGGCAGCAAUGCCCUAGUGGCGGACGGGUGAGGAAUACGUAGGAACCGGCCCACGAGUGGGGGACAACCUGGGGAAACCCAGGCUAAUACCGCAUACGCUCGCGAGAGGAAAGCGGGGGACCUUCGGGCCUCGCGCUGGUGGACGGGCCUACGUCCGAUUAGCUUGUUGGUGGGGUAAAAGCCUACCAAGGCGACGAUCGGUAGCUGGUCUGAGAGGAUGAUCAGCCACACUGGGACUGAGACACGGCCCAGACUCCUACGGGAGGCAGCAGUGGGGAAUAUUGGACAAUGGGCGCAAGCCUGAUCCAGCAAUGCCGCGUGGGUGAAGAAGGCCUGCGGUUGUAAAGCCCUUAAGCGGGGAGGAAAGCCGGGGGGUGGAAUAGCGCCUCGGGGUGACGUUACCGCAGAAUAAGCACCGGCUAACUCCGUGCCAGCAGCCGCGGUAAU
rnacentral:rRNA from 1 species